GAUUGAACGCUGGCGUCCUGCUUUACCCAUGCACGUCGAACGGUAACCGGCCUUCGGGUGCUGACGAGUGGCGAACGGGUGAGUAAUGCAUCGGAACGUGCCCAGAGGUGGGGGAUAACGCAGCGAAAGCUGUGCUAAUACCGCAUGUGAUCUGAGGAUGAAAGCGGGGGACCAGGCAGCAAUGUUUGGCCUCGCGCCUUUGGAGCGGCCGAUGUCAGAUUAGGUAGUUGGUGGGGUAAAGGCCUACCAAGCCGACGAUCUGUAGCUGGUCUGAGAGGACGACCAGCCACACUGGGACUGAGACACGGCCCAGACUCCUACGGGAGGCAGCAGUGGGGAAUUUUGGACAAUGGGCGCAAGCCUGAUCCAGCAAUGCCGCGUGCGGGAAGAAGGCCUUCGGGUUGUAAACCGCUUUUGUACGGAACGAAAAGGCUCUGGCUAAUACCUGGGGCUGAUGACGGUACCGUAAGAAUAAGCACCGGCUAACUACGUG
rnacentral:rRNA from 1 species